AGUGCGUAAUAGCUCACUGGUCGAGUGAUCCUGCGCCGAAGAUUUCCGGGGCUAAAACUUACUACCGAAGCUACGGCAUCAGGAAUGAUGGGUAGGGGAGCUUCCCAUACGGGUUGAAGCAUGACCGUAAGGACAUGUGGACAGUAUGGGAGUGAGAAUGUUGGCAUGGGUAGCGAGAUGUGGGUGAGAAUCCCACAGGCCGUAAACCCAAGGUUUCCAGGGGAAGGUUCGUCCGCCCUGGGUUAGUCGGGACCUAAGCUGAGGCCGAAAGGCGUAGGUGAUGGACAACAGGUUGA
rnacentral:rRNA from 1 species